AAUUAUAGACCAAUCCAGCAAUGUGGAGAUAGCAUCUUUUCCAAUCUAUAAGGUGUUAUUCUGUGCACGUGGACAUGACGGAACAACAGAGAGCAAUUGCUUUGCAUUUACAGAGAGUUCCCAUGGUUCAGAAGAAUUUCAGAUACAUGUUUUCUCCUGUGAAAUUAAAGAGGCAAGGUGGGGAAGCAGAUGGUAGAAUCCUGGCAUUUCAUGUUGUCAGCCAUCAUUUAACACACCUGUGUGAUUUCCGAAUCACUGGAGCUCAACAGCAAGGAAAUGAGCUUUGAAGACCUGGAGAAUCUGCUGCUUGGAGAGAGAGAAAUGCUGCUGCAGAAGGAAACUGAAUUGCUGCAAGAGGUUUCCAUAACUAAUGAGUUUGUGGAUGAGAGCUGAAGA
rnacentral:sRNA from 1 species